rnacentral:rRNA from 1 species
CGCGGCCUAUCAGCUUGUUGGUGGGGUAACGGCCUACCAAGGCAUCGACGGGUAGCUGGUCUGAGAGGACGAUCAGCCACACUGGGACUGAGACACGGCCCAGACAUCUACGGAUGGCAGCAGUGGGGAAUAUUGCGCAAUGGGCGAAAGCCUGACGCAGCAACGCCGCGUGAGGGAUGACAGCUUUCGGGUUGUAAACCUCUUUCAGUGAUGACGAAAAUGACGGUAAUCACAGAAGAAGGUCCGGCCAACUACGUGCCAGCAGCCGCGGUAACACGUAGGGACCGAGCGUUGUCCGGAUUUAUUGGGCGUAAAGAGCUCGUAGGCGGUUUCGUAAGUCGGAUGUGAAAACUCAGGGCUCAACCCGGAGACGCCAUCCGAUACUGCGAUGACUAGAGUCCGGUAGGGGAGCAUGGAAUUCCUGGUGUAGCGGUGGAAUGCGCAGAUAUCAGGAGGAACACCAGUGGCGAAGGCGGUGCUCUGGGCCGGAACUGACGCUGAGGAGCGAAAGUAUGGGGAGCAAACAGGAUUAGAUACCCUGGUAGUCCAUACCGUAAACGUUGGGCACUAGGUGUGGGGCCUUCUAACGGGUUCCGUGCCGUAGCUAACGCAUUAAGUGCCCCGCCUGGGGAGUACGG